CCUACGGGGGGCAGCAGUGGGGGAUAUUGCACAAUGGGGGAAACCCUGAUGCAGCGACGCCGCGUGGGUGAAGAAGCGCCUAGGCGCGUAAAGCCCUGUCAGCAGGGAAGAAAAUGACGGUACCUGAAGAAGAAGCCCCGGCUAACUACGUGCCAGCAGCCGCGGUAAUACGUAGGGGGCAAGCGUUAUCCGGAUUUACUGGGUGUAAAGGGGGCGCAGACGGCGAUGCAAGCCAGGAGUGAAAGCCCGGGGCCCAACCCCGGGACUGCUCUUGGAACUGCGUGGCUAGAGUGCAGGAGGGGCAGGCGGAAUUCCGGGUGUAGCGGUGAAAUGCGUAGAUAUCAGGAGGAACACCGGUGGCGAAGGCGGCCUGCUGGACUGCAACUGACGUUGAGGCCCGAAAGCGUGGGGAGCAAACAGGAUUAGAUACCCCAGUAGUC
rnacentral:rRNA from 1 species